rnacentral:rRNA from 1 species
UACAGAGGUCUCAAGCGUUGUUCGGAUUCAUUGGGCGUAAAGGGUGCGUAGGCGGCGCGGUAAGUCGGGUGUGAAAUCUCGGAGCUUAACUUCGAAACUGCAUUCGAUACUGCCGUGCUUGAGGACUGGAGAGGAGACUGGAAUUUACGGUGUAGCGGUGAAGUGCGUAGAUAUCGUAAGGAAGACCAGUGGCGAAGGCGGGUCUCUGGACAGUUCCUGACGCUGAGGCACGAAGGCCAGGGGAGCAAACGGG